GUUCCUCCUCAAAAGUCAGGUUUGGUCUAACCUUAAUCUCCUCAAUCGAGACAAUAUGCGUGGGAUCAGAGCGAUAUCGCCUCAGCAUAGAGACAUGGAACACAUCAUGAAUCUGAUCCAACUCUAGAGGUAACUCAAGCUGAUAGGCAACCUUUCCUACAAGCUUCAAUAUACGAUAAGGCCCAAUGAAUCUAGGGCUUAACUUGCCCUUUCGAGCAAACCUCAAUACUUUCUUCCACGGCGACACCAUAAGAAAUACCAAAUCCCCC
rnacentral:lncRNA from 1 species